ACGAACGCUGGCGGCACGCUUAACACAUGCAAGUCGAACGAGAGAAGAGGAGCUUGCUUUUCUGAUCUAGUGGCGGACGGGUGAGUAACACGUGAGCAAUCUGCCUUUCAGAGGGGGAUACCGAUUGGAAACGAUCGUUAAUACCGCAUAACAUAAUUGAACCGCAUGAUUUGAUUAUCAAAGAUUUAUCGCUGAAAGAUGAGCUCGCGUCUGAUUAGCUAGUUGGUAAGGUAACGGCUUACCAAGGCGACGAUCAGUAGCCGGACUGAGAGGUUGAUCGGCCACAUUGGGACUGAGACACGGCCCAGACUCCUACGGGAGGCAGCAGUGGGGAAUAUUGCACAAUGGAGGAAACUCUGAUGCAGCGAUGCCGCGUGAGGGAAGAAGGUUUUAGGAUUGUAAACCUCUGUCUUCAGGGACGAAAAAAGACGGUACCUGAGGAGGAAGCUCCGGCUAACUACGUGCCAGCAGCCGCGGUAAUACGUAGGGAGCGAGCGUUGUCCGGAAUUACUGGGUGUAAAGGGAGCGUAGGCGGGAUCGCAAGUCAGAUGUGAAAACUAUGGGCUUAACCCAUAAACUGCAUUUGAAACUGUGGUUCUUGAGUGAAGUAGAGGUAAGCGGAAUUCCUAGUGUAGCGGUGAAAUGCGUAGAUAUUAGGAGGAACAUCAGUGGCGAAGGCGGCUUACUGGGCUUUAACUGACGCUGAGGCUCGAAAGCGUGGGGAGCAAACAGGAUUAGAUACCCUGGUAGUCCACGCCGUAAACGAUGAUUACUAGGUGUGGGGGGACUGACCCCUUCCGUGCCGCAGCAAACGCAAUAAGUAAUCCACCUGGGGAGUACGACCGCAAGGUUGAAACUCAAAGGAAUUGACGGGGGCCCGCACAAGCGGUGGAGUAUGUGGUUUAAUUCGACGCAACGCGAAGAACCUUACCAGGUCUUGACAUUGAUCGCGAUCUGCAGAAAUGCGGAGUUCUUCUUCGGAAGACGAGAAAACAGGUGGUGCACGGCUGUCGUCAGCUCGUGUCGUGAGAUGUUGGGUUAAGUCCCGCAACGAGCGCAACCCUUACUGUUAGUUGCUACGCAAGAGCACUCUAGCAGGACUGCCGUUGACAAAACGGAGGAAGGUGGGGAUGACGUCAAAUCAUCAUGCCCCUUAUGACCUGGGCCUCACACGUACUACAAUGGCUGUCAACAGAGGGAUGCAAAGCCGCGAGGUGGAGCGAACCCCUAAAAGCAGUCUUAGUUCGGAUUGUAGGCUGCAACCCGCCUACAUGAAGUCGGAAUUGCUAGUAAUCGCAGAUCAGCAUGCUGCGGUGAAUACGUUCCCGGGCCUUGUACACACCGCCCGUCACGCCAUGGGAGUCGGUAACACCCGAAGCCUGUAGUCUAACCGCAAGGAGGACGCAGUCGAAGGUGGGAUUGAUGACUGGGGUG
rnacentral:rRNA from 1 species